AAUUUUUUUUUUUACUUACCUAUUCUAUUCACGUAUUUAAUUAUGUUCUGAUAAAAAGAAGUACAUUUAAUCUGUAAUAUAUAUACACAUACAUAUAUAUAUUGAUUCUUUUUUUAUGUUCUUUUAUUUUUUCUAUUAAUUUAUAAAGUAAAUAAUUUUUAGUUUUUGAUAUAUUUAUUUUAAAUCACAUUUUUAAUUUUUCAUUUUUUUUUUUAAGUACAUAUUUCUGCUUUAAAUUCAUAUAUUUUUCUUUUUUUUUUCUCUGCAUAAAUAUAUAUUUAUAUCUAUAUUUAUAUCUAUCUAUCUAUCUAUCUAUCUAUAUAUAUAUGUAUGUUUGUAUUUUUUUUUUUUUUUAUAGUAAAAAUAUUCAUACUAUUAAAUCUUUUUAUAAAUAUAGUCAUAACACAUUAGUUUAAUUUAUGUAUAGUGAUACGCAAUUACUUGUACAUACAAAGUUUUAUGUACGCGCUUUCUUAUUAAAUCAUUUAUAUGUAUAAAUAAUAAUAUAAUUGUAUGUUAUUAUAUGUGUACGUAAUUAUAUGCAUAUAUGUUAGUGUAUAUAUAUAUAUAUAUAUAUGUCAUUAGGGUAGUACAUUAUUUUAAUUAGAUACAUAAAUAUAUACAUGUACAGAUAGAUAUAUAACUACAUAUUGCACAUCUUUUGUAAAAAACAAAAAAUUUGUAACAAAAAUGUAAGCCCAAAUCAUUAUAUUUAAAAAAAAAAAAAAAAAAAAAAAAAAAAAUGUAUACAAUUUUUUACAUAGUUUAUGUUAGUUUGUUUAGAUAGAGAUGUUCAUACAAAUUGUACAGAUACUAAUUUUUUUUUUUUUUUUUUUUUUUUUAAUAAAGGUUAUACAAAACACAACUUUGUUCAUUCUAUGCAAAAGGAAUAUGUGCAAGAGGCAACAGAUGCAGUUGGGCUCAUGGGGAGUUGGAUGUUAGGCCUAUGCCUAAAUUUUACAAGACUAGGAUGUGUUAUACGUUUUUAUCUGGUAGUUACUGUGAAGCUUCUAAAUGUACGUUCGCACACACAGAAGAAGAAUUAAGAGGUUCAGGAAAAGCUUUGAGAUUAUGUACAAAGUAUUUUUUAGAUGGCUACUGCAAUAAAGCUGACAAAUGUCCUAUGGCUCAUAACAUAAAUCAACUAGACCCAUCAGUAAAAUUUUCAUCAAGUGAAUUAAUGAAUAAGGUUUAUUCUAAUGAGGAUAAUGUAUAUUAUAAUAAUAAUAAUAACCUUGACUUGCCAAAGAAUGAUAAUAAGGAAACUGAAGGAAAUGGUCGUAAAAACAGUAGUAGAAGCAGUAGUACACAUAACAAUAAUUACAACAUCCAUGGAGGAACUAAUAAUAAUAUAAGUCAUAAUAUCCAUAACUAUCACAAUAAUAAUAGUAGUAAUAAUGCAGUUUUUGAAAUUACGAACGAGUUAGAUGACGUUAAUGUAAAAAAGCAUUUAAAAGAUUACCAUAUUAUGAACAAUUUUAAUAAUAGUGAAAAUGACAAAAACGAUAUUGAUGAUCCAAAAAAGAAUAGUUAUAAGAUUUAUAGAAAUUGUGAGAAAAAAAUGUAUAAAGAUUAUUUAUUGGAUGACAACCAGACAAAUGAUUACUUUGAUGAAAUAAAAAAAGGAAAUGGUAAUUCGUUUGUUACUCUUUUUGUGCAUCUGCUGUGCAUAUAAUGAUCAAUUUGUACGUAUUUUUACGUAUUUUUACGUAUUUGUACGUAUUUUUACGUAU
ensembl:lncRNA